rnacentral:rRNA from 1 species
UGCGUAGGCGGAAAAUUAAGUCAGCGGUGAAAUCCUGCGGCUCAACCGUAGAACUGUCAUUGAUACUGAUUUUCUUGAAUACAGUUGAGGUAGGCGGAAUAUGUAAUGUAGCGGUGAAAUGCUUAGAUAUUACAUAGAACACCGACUGCGAAGGCAGCUUACUAAACUGAUAUUGACGCUGAGGCACGAAAGCGUGGGGAGCGAACAGGAUUAGAUACCCUGGUAGUCC